UACGAAGGGGGCUAGCGUUGCUCGGAAUCACUGGGCGUAAAGCGCACGUAGGCGGCUUUUUAAGUCAGGGGUGAAAUCCUGGAGCUCAACUCCAGAACUGCCUUUGAUACUGGGAAGCUUGAGUCCGGAAGAGGUGAGUGGAACUCCGAGUGUAGAGGUGAAAUUCGUAGAUAUUCGGAAGAACACCAGUGGCGAAGGCGGUUCACUGGUCCGGUACUGACGCUGAGGUGCGAAAGCGUGGGGAGCAAACAGG
rnacentral:rRNA from 1 species